GUGAAUUUUAAGAUAUUUGGAUUGUUUCUCAAUUUUUAAAAGUUAAAUAGUAAGAAAACAACAAUCCAAUUAGAAAAAUACAAAGACAUCAAAUGACCAAAUUCACCAAGGAGAAGAUACAGAUGGCAAAAUAAAUGUAUGAAGAUACUCAAUAUAAUUAUUUACAGAGAAAAGCAAGUGAAAAGCCACAAUGACAUAUCACUACAAACUUAUAAGAAUUACUAAAAUAAAUCAGUAACAAUACUAACUGCCGAUGAAGAUGAAAAAAAAUUGGAUCACUCAUACAUGGCUGGUGAGAAUGCAAAAUAGCACCACCCCUUUGGAAAAUAAUUGGACAGUUUCUUACAAAAUGGAACAUGCUGCUAGUGUAUGACCUAGUAGUUGUACUUCUUAUGUUUAACUUCCUAGAUGCAUGGAUAUUUAUAUCAGCUUGAUUCAUAAUAGCCCCACAGUAGAAACAACCCAGAUGCCUUUCAAUGGAUUUGCAAGGAAUUAUACCCAUACAAUGGAGUACCAUUCAACAAUAAUAAGAAGUGGAUUAUGGACACAUGCAACAACCUGCAUACAUCUCCAGAGAAUUAUGAUGAGUAAAAAAAAAAAGAAAGAAAAACAAUCCCAAAUGGUUACAUACUUUGUGAUUCCAAGCAUAUAAUUCUUUUUGAAAAGGUGAAAUUGCACAAAUAAGAAGCAUGUUCGUAGUUGCUGGGGACUGGAGAGAGGGUACAGGUAGGAAGGAACACAUAAAAGUGCAACAUGAUUGAUCUUGGUAAUGAUGAAAAUGUUCUGCAUCUUCACUGUAUCAAUGUCCUGAUUGUGAUAUUGUACUGCACCUGUACUUUUACAUGAUGUUCUCAGUAGGAAAACUAGGUAAAACUUACAUGCAAUCUAUGAUCAUUUCUUACAAUUGUAUGUGGAUCUACAAAUAUCUCAAAUAGAAAGAUUUUUUUACAGUAACAUAAAUUCUUUGUAUUUAUUUUUUUUUAAAGAGAGAGAGAAU
rnacentral:lncRNA from 1 species